rnacentral:lncRNA from 1 species
GACUGGUGCCUGAAAGUUAAUAUUAGAAAGACUAAAGUCAUAAUUUUUAAUAAGGCUGGAAGGAAAAUUCAGGCGAAUUUUCGACUGCAGAAUAACUUGAUUGACUGUGUCGCUCAUUACAAAUAUUUAGGUGUUCACUUUACUGCAUCUGGAAGUUUUCAUCUAGCUAAAACUGAACUUUAUAAUAAGGCUCUUAAGGCCUACUAUAAACUUAGAAAGGAUUUUAUCAAUUUGUCUCCUGGAAUAAAAUCUUGUGUUCAUAUUUUUGAUCAUACCCUUAAACCCAUUCUGUUAUAUAAUUCAGAGGUAUGGGGAGGUUAUAAUGUCUCUUGUAAUAAAUUACAG